GUACCCCUGCAGCCUGGUGGGGAGGGGUAGCUCCUUCCCCACAAGAAGCAGCGGUAGUGCCCACGGCAGAUAUAACCAUGGCAACCAACAACAAACAUCCCAGGAACCACAGUGGGACAGGAAGUGACAGCCACGUGACAGGAAGACAUUUUUUUUCUUAGUGUUGUGGGGGGUGAUGAAGAUUGUUUGCAGCCCCUGGGGAAUCAGCUGUCCCCCAGGUUUCUCCCACCUGGAGUUGGAGGGAAGGGGGACCACUAGGAAGGGGGCCAACCCCUCCUUGCUCUACACAGUGGGUCGCGGGACUGACAGGGCUCUCCCUCUCUGCCUGCCACUCAUGGGUCCCCCCCUUAACCCCCCUCUUCUCCACUUCCUGCCGUGACUGGAGAUCAGAGAACUCUCCACCGCAGCUUCCCCUUCUCAAGUCUCGAUUCCUGGGCUGAAGGUUUCACUGUGGGGCGAGGGACAGAGAAGAAGAGCUGAGGACCUGCGGUAGGACCCAGGGGACAGAGGCUUCAGUGGGAGGGCCAGGAUAAAGCCACUCCAAGGUUUGAAAGUCUUUUUGUUGUGCUUGUUUUUGAAGAGAAAGAGAGAGCAGGAGUUCCCAGCGGCAGUUCUGCAAGGGCUCGAGCGCUGGGGACACACGCAGCAGACGGCCCCAGACGCCUCAAGGCUGCGCGCGAAGACACGGCGCAGGCAGACGCACAGACGGGGCUCCCCCACCCUGGACACGGCGGCAGCGAGUUGGGAAACCCAGGAAACCCCGGGUUCCCGUCAGAAGCCUCCCGGCACCCAGUCCCCUCCCGUAGCGCUUAUCUGGGCAGGACAUGGGGCCCCGACGCCUGCGGGAACCAGGGGCUCCCCAAAAUCCCCGGGGAAAGGGUUACCUCGCAGCCAGGGGACGCAACCCGUUCGGGGUACCCGCGAGCACAACGUCUGCCCUAACCCGGCGCCCUGGUGCUGUUCGGCAUUAGAGUGCGGGAUCCCGGGAGAGGAGCCGUCUGGGGGGCCGCGUCUCAGGGGCGCGGGGCGACGGCAGCGGCCAUAGCGAGUCACGUGCGGAGGCUGAAACUUUACCCGGAGCCCCAGACUAUAGGGGCGGAGGGUACGGAGGAGAGGUGGGGGAAGGCCCUCUCCCUCAGGCCCGCCCCUGCCCGCCCACCGACCAAUCAUCAGUCAGGGGCGGAUCUACAGGAUCACCCCCGCCCCCACCUCUCCUUAACAGACCCCGGGAAGGGCGAGUCUUAAAGGAGCCGCUCCUAGCAGAAGGCUGGACCGUGGGAAUCUGGGAGAAUCCCUCCCUCAAACCCGAACCGAAAAUUCAGAGCGAGGAGGGGGUGAUGUUCUGCGGAAAGAAUGAAAAUAGCACUCGGUGAAGACCGCAGCGUGUGGUAUCCUACACUCCUUUCCCCCGCGACCACACACACUCCCACACCUAAACCCGAGAAGAGAGGCGGCGGCAGAACAUGGAAGUGAGUGCGGUGACUCCUGCCCUAGCUGUCAAGCCCCUGAAUCCUAUAAUUAUAAUCCUCUUCUAGGGACCAGCUGGAACUGAGAGCUGUGUGACCUUGACCAAGUCACUUCCCUUCCCUGGAUCUUAAUUAUCUCAGCUGAAAAAAAAAAAAAAAAAAAAAAAAAA